rnacentral:rRNA from 1 species
CCUACGGGCGGCUGCAGUAGGGAAUAUUGCUCAAUGGGGGAAACCCUGAAGCAGCAACGCCGCGUGGAGGAUGAAGGUUUUCGGAUUGUAAACUCCUUUUGUUAGAGAAGAUAAUGACGGUAUCUAACGAAUAAGCACCGGCUAACUCCGUGCCAGCAGCCGCGGUAAUACGGAGGGUGCAAGCGUUACUCGGAAUCACCGGGCGUAAAGGGCGCGUAGGCGGGUUAGCAAGUCAGAUGUGAAAUCCUAUGGCUUAACCAUAGAACUGCAUUUGAAACUGGUAUUCUAGAGUAUGGGAGAGGUAGGUGGAAUUCUUGGUGUAGGGGUAAAAUCCGUAGAGAUCAAGAAGAAUACUCAUUGCGAAGGCGACCUGCUAGAACAUAACUGACGCUGAUGCGCGAAAGCGUGGGGAGCAAACAGGAUUAGAUACCCGAGUAGUC